rnacentral:rRNA from 1 species
AUACGGAGGGUGCAAGCGUUGUUCGGAAUUACUGGGCGUAAAGCGCGCGUAGGCGGUUUGCUCAGUCGGAUGUGAAAGCCCAGGGCUCAACCUUGGAACUGCAUACGAUACUGGCAAACUAGAGUGUGAGAGAGGAUAGUGGAAUUUCCGGUGUAGCGGUGAAAUGCGUAGAUAUCGGAAGGAACAUCAGUGGCGAAGGCGACUGUCUGGCUCAACACUGACGCUGAGGUGCGAAAGCGUGGGUAGCAAACAGGAUUAGAAACCCUAGUAGUCC